rnacentral:rRNA from 1 species
UACGAAGGGGGCUAGCGUUGCUCGGAAUCACUGGGCGUAAAGCGCACGUAGGCGGCUUUCUAAGUCAGGGGUGAAAUCCUGGAGCUCAACUCCAGAACUGCCUUUGAUACUGGAGAGCUAGAGUCCGGAAGAGGUGAGUGGAACUGCGAGUGUAGAGGUGAAAUUCGUAGAUAUUCGCAAGAACACCAGUGGCGAAGGCGGCUCACUGGCCCGAUACUGACGCUGAGGUGCGAAAGCGUGGGGAGCAAACAGG